AACGAACGCUGGCGGCAUGCCUAACACAUGCAAGUCGAACGAGACCUUCGGGUCUAGUGGCGCACGGGUGCGUAACGCGUGGGAAUCUGCCCUUCGGUUGGGAAUAACUGAGAGAAAUUUCAGCUAAUACCUUAUAAUGUCUUCGGACCAAAGAUUUAUCGCCGAGGGAUGAGCCCGCGUAGGAUUAGGUAGUUGGUGGGGUAAUGGCCUACCAAGCCGUCGAUCCUUAGCUGGUCUGAGAGGAUGAUCAGCCACACUGGGACUGAGACACGGCCCAGACUCCUACGGAAGGGAGCAGUGGGGAAUAUUGGACGAGGGGCGAAAGCCUGAUCCAGCAAUGCCGGGUGAGUGAUGAAGGCCUUAGGGUUGUAAAGCUCUUUUACCCGGGAUGAUAAUGACAGUACCGGGAGAAUAAGCUCCGGCUAACUCCGUG
rnacentral:rRNA from 1 species